rnacentral:rRNA from 1 species
CACUCCUGCGGGAGGCAGCAGUGGGGAAUUUUGGACAAUGGGCGAAAGCCUGAUCCAGCAAUGCCGCGUGAGUGAAGAAGGCCUUCGGGUUGUAAAGCUCUUUUGUCAGGGAAGAAACGGUGAAAGCUAAUAUCUUUUGCUAAUGACGGUACCUGAAGAAUAAGCACCGGCUAACUACGUGCCAGCAGCCGCGGUAAUACGUAGGGUGCAAGCGUUAAUCGGAAUUACUGGGCGUAAAGCGUGCGCAGGCGGUUUUGUAAGUCUGAUGUGAAAUCCCCGGGCUCAACCUGGGAAUUGCAUUGGAGACUGCAAGGCUAGAAUCUGGCAGAGGGGGGUAGAAUUCCACGUGUAGCAGUGAAAUGCGUAGAUAUGUGGAGGAACACCGAUGGCGAAGGCAGCCCCCUGGGUCAAGAUUGACGCUCAUGCACGAAAGCGUGGGGAGCAAACAGGAUUAGAUACCCGUGUAGUCCCAUGA